CUGAGGGGGCCUAGGGGCCCCAGGCCUGUAUCCACAUGGGGGCCCGGUGGAGAUGCCUCAAGGAAGGGACCCCCCUCCUCCCAAAUCCAGAGCAGGGCCAAGGGGUCACAGGAGCCUGGGCCUGAGGCCAUCCUGCCCCCGACUUCACCCAAAGGAGGACUUCCCCACUCACUGUCCCCCUGAGCCCAGAGGAGGAUCACUUUGUGUAGGUGCCUGCUACCGGAGAGACCAGGGACACACGCUAGGGUGCUGGACCCUGCUUUUAAAGACAGCUGUUCAUCCUGUUCAGAACGCUCACUGCAGAAACUGUCCAAAAUGCAGAAGAGAACGGAGGGCCCUGGCCUAGGAUGAGACAGCCUUCCUGGAAGCCCAGGUCACAGCAGGAUCUGGAGGGCGGCAGAGUGGCCACCAGCUUGACUAGGUGAUGCAGCUGGGGAAGAAGGGAAGAAACACCCCAGUGCAUGCCCCUUCUCCCGCUCCAUGUGAUCUGGGCAAGUGGAAUCCCCCACCCCCGCCAGCAACCCUGCAGCUUAUGGGUAUCCUCUCUGACCCAACUGUUCAAUUCCCGGGGGCUGUGCCAUCUCAGGGCAGCCUAGCGCCCCUCCAGGCCCUGCAGAGAGACUUAAGUCCAGGGCCGUGGCCAUUCUGCCAGCCAGUGACACCCAGAGCCCAUCUCCCUAACAAAUGGGCUAGGCUACAGACCACUGCAGGUGUCACUUCCCUGGUGGCCUGAGAGGAGAGCCAUGUGGACAUAAACAGAACUCCCAGUUAAAGACAGAAAACUGAGAACAGGCAUUUGCAUCCACUGGACAGGCAAGGCAGAGACAAAAGGAGGAGUGAAGACACCGGAAAGCAUAGCAGAAGCAUGAGUGGUGACUGCUGCAGGAUCCAGAGAAUCCAGGGCCCAGAGCAAGAGGCACCACGACCUCAGGGGACAACAGACUGCUGCAGGGCCAUCCCCCACAGCUCUACUCCAGAUCCUCAUCACUGCUGGUGGGGCUGCAGGACAGUGAGCCCAGGGCUGUCAGGCAGCAAAGAGGCUCGGGCCACUCCUCCAGGCAGUUGGGAAGUUACCUGGGCCACAGCUGGACAACAGGAUGGCCAGAUGUGUGGCCUCAGGAGAAGAAGAAACAGGGCCCAGGACUAGGGCACAUCGGGAUUCAGAGGCCCCAAGCUGUGCAGUGUCCCCAACGGCUGCACUGCAGCUUCCAGGCAACAAACGUCAGACCUCAAAACAGAGGAACACGAAAAUACAUUUGAAAAGAGACUCCACAGGGAGAUGAAAACGUUAAAAAAUAAAUCAACAGGCCGGGCGCCCAUGGCUCACGCCUGUAAUCCCAGCACUUUGGGAGGCCAAGGCAGGCGGAUCACCUAAGGUCAGGAGUUCGGGACCAGUCUGGCCAACAUGGUGAAACCCCGUCUCUCCUAAACGUACAAAAAAAUUAGCCGGGCAUGGUGGUGGGCACCUGUAACCUCAAUUACUUGGGAGGCUGAAGCAGGAGAAUCACUUGAACCCGGGAGGCGGAGGUUGCAGUGAGCAGAGAUCAUGCCAUUGCACUCCAGUCUGGGCAACAAGACCGAGACUCCGUCUCAAAAACAUAAAAUAAAUAAAUAAAAAAUGCCAGUUUUCGUGUCCUUGGAAAAACAAAAGCUCUGAAUAGACGUUUCUUCAAAGAAGCUAUACAAAUGGCUAAAAGCACAUAACAAGAUGCUCAAUGCCAUGUGUCAUCAGGGAAAUGCAAAUCAAAACAACGAGACACUGGCUACUCUGGGCACACUGCCUAUGGGUUAGCCCUGCCCUGCAAGGAGCAAUAAUGAACAAACAAACCCACCAAACAAAAAACAAACAACGAGAUACCACUUCACACACACCCAGGGAUGACUGGAAUAAAAAAAACAGAAAAUAGGUUGGGCGCAGUGGCUCACGCCUCUAAUCCCAGUCACAGCUCACUGCAGCCUGGAUCUCCUGUGCUCAAGUGAUCCUCCCACCUCAGCCUCUAGGGUAGCUGGGAUCACAAGAGCACAACACCAUGCCUGGCUAAUUUUUUCAUUUUUUGUAGAGAUGAGGGUCUCACUAUGUUGCCCAGGCUUGUCUAGAACUUGAGCCCAGGCUUGGGCUCAAGCAAUCCUCCCACCUAAGCCUCCCAAAGUGCUGACAUUAUAGGCAUGAGCCACCACGCCCGGUCCUGAUUCAACAUUCCUCACAGCUACAAGUUUCCACAGAUUACAUGUCAGCCACACAGCGUAUAAUUCCAUUGAUCUGAAAUGUCCACAACAGGCAAAUCAAUAGAGACAGAAAGCAGAUUAGUAGUUACCAGGGGCUGGGAGCAUGGGAGGGAAUGGGGAGAAUGACUCCUGAUGGGGAUAGGGUUUCCUUUUGGGGAAAUGAAAAUUUUCUGGAACUAGACAGAGGUGGUGGCUGCACAAUAUUAUGAACGUACAAAAUGUUACUGAGCUGCUCACUUUAAAUGGAUGACUUGUGUUACAUGAACUGUAUCUGAAUAAAGCUGUUAUUCUUUAAAAAACAUCCUUAGAGGCCGGGCCCGAUGGCUCACGCCUGUAAUCCCAGCACUUUGGGAGGCCGAGGCAGGUGGAUCACGAGGUCAGGAGAUCGAGACCAUCCUGGCUAACACGGUGAAACCUCAUCUCUACUAAAAAUACAAAAAAUUAGCCGGGCAUGGUGGCGGGCGCCUGUAGUCCCAGCUACUCGCGAGGCUGAGGCAGGAGAAUGGUGUCAACCCAGGAGGCGGAGCUAGCAGUGAGCCGAGAUCGCGCCACUGCACUCCAGCCUGGGUGACGAGCAAGACUCCGUCUCAAAAUAAAUAAAGAAAUAAAUAAAAUAAACAUCCUUAGAGUAGGUUAAAAAUGACAUCCUGGGCUGGGCAUAAUGGCUCAUGCCUGUAAUCCCAGUACUUUGGGAGGCUGAGAUGGGCAGAUUACCUGAGGUUGGGAGUUCCCGACCAGCCUGGCCUGCAUGGUGAAACCCUGUCUCUACUUAAAAAUACAAAAUUAGCCGGUCGUGGUGGCAGGCGCCUGUAAUCCCAGCUACUCGGGAAGCUGAGGUAGGCGAAUCACUUGAACCUGGGAGGCAGAUGUUGCAGUGAGCAGAGAUUGCGCCACUGCACUCCAGCCUGGGCAACAGAGUGAGACUCAGUCUCAAAAAAAAAAAAAAAAAAGGCAUCCUGGCUGGGCACGGUGGCUCACACCUGUAAACCCAGCACUUUGGAAGGCUGAGGCCCUUGAGGUCAGGAGUUUGAGACAAGCCUGGCCAACAUGGUGAAACCCCAGAUCUACUAAAAAUACAAAAAAUUAGCCGGGCAUGGUGGUGCAUGCCUGUAAUCCCAGCUACUCAGGAGGCUGAGGCAGGAGAAUUGCUUGAACCGGGGAGGCAGAGGUUGCAGUGAGCCAAGAUUGCGCCACUGCACUCCAGGUUGGGCGAUAGGGUGAGAGUCCCUCUCCAAAAAAAAAAAAAAAGAAAGAAAGAAAGAAAAAGACAUCCUUUCCAUUAAAUAAGAACAUGAUGAGUUAGGCCAGGCACAGUGGAUCACGCCUGUAAUCCCAGCACUUUGGGAGGCCGAGGCGGGUGGAUCAUGAGGUCAGGAGUUCCAGACCAGCCUGGCCAAGAUGGUGAAACCCCAUCUCUACUAAAAAUACAAAAAUUAGCCAGGCGUGGUGGCGGGCACCUGUAAUCCCAGCUACUCGGGAAGCUGAGGCACAGAAUUGCUUGAACCCAGGAGGCGGAGGUUGCAGUGAGCCGAGAUCAUGCCACUGCACUCCAGCCUGCGUGACAGAGCAAGACUCUGUCUCAGGAAAAAAAAAAAAAAAAGAACAUGCUCCUACGAAAACGCAAUGGGGAAGACUCUUAGAAACUAGAAAUAAUAGGCCUUGCAUGGUGGCUCACAUGUGUAAUCCCAGUGCUUUGGGUGGCUGAGGCAGGCAGAUCACUUGAGGUCAGGAGUUCAAGACCAGUCUGGAGAACAUGGUGAAACCCCAUCUCUUUGCCUAGGCAACAGAGCAACACUCUGUCUCAAGAAAAAAAAAGAAACUACAAAUAAUAGUAAAUUAAGAGACAGGAUGAGAAAUGUCAAAGAAGUCUCCUAAAAGGAGAAUAAAAAAGAGCAAGAGAUGAAAACCAGCUGGGCGCGGUGGCUCACGCCUGUAAUCCCAGCACUUUGGGAGGCUGAGGUGGGCGGAUCACCUGAGAUCCGGAGUUUGAGACCAGCCUGACCAACAUGGAGAAACCCCAUCUCUACUAAAAAUACAAAAUUAGCCGGGCAUGGUGCGCAUGCCUGUAAUCCCAGCUACUCUGGAUGCUGAGGCAGGAGAAUGGCUUGAACCCAGGAGACGGACGUUGCUGUGAGCCGAGAUCGCGCCAUUGCACUCCAGCCUGGGCAACAAGAGCAAAACUCCAUCACAAAAAAAAAAAAAAGAGAUGAAAACCAGGAAGAGGAGGACAGACUCUAGCAGCCUGCCAAGAGCAGUUUGAGGUGGUGUGCAGUAGGAUAGGCCUUUCCACUACCACACACAGGACAGAAGGACGGAUAGACGGAUAAGGCAAGUUUUCAGCCUGCGGGGGCCGUGGUGCCCACCAUCCCAGAGUAGGUACCUGGCCAGCCCCUGGCUCUGUGGACCAGCACAGGGUUGGGGUGGGAAGCCUCUGACCUUCAACGUGGAGGGAAAGCAUCUUGGACUCUACAAGUCUAGAUGUGAUCAACCGCCGGCUCAGCAGGACCAUCGUCUGGGCAUGAAGAUGUGGCCAGCAGUCCUCCUGGAGCCCUGUCCUCAGAGAGGUGCUCCAGGAGCUGUGCUCCCUUGGCACCAGGGAGGAGCAGGAAGGAGGAGUAUAUAGACUCUGGCAUGGGGCUCACAGGAGAGGGGAGUGGCUCAGGUUGGAGGUAAGGGCACCAGCUCAGCUGGGGAGGCUCCUGCAGUGACUUGGGCCCCCACAUCCCAUCUGUCUCACGGCCUGCACUAGGCUAACGGCCUGCACUGGGCUAGCCCAGCUGGUAACAAAUACUCCAAGGCCCUGCUUUGAUAUACACGAAGCCAUGGUGUCAAAAACUGCUAUAAAUGGGGCUUUCUUAGGGAUGGGGUGCUAAAUAGGAAAAAAAAAAAAAAACAGCUAUGCAGAGGGGCACCGCAGGUCACCUUCUAUGUGGUUAUGGCCCAGGGACAUCAACCCUGCCCCCUGCACGCUAGUGGAAGCUUGUGAAGGCAGUGCUGAUCCCCAUGCCGGCCCAGAGUGAAAGCAGAGUGCCAAGGGGCUGGCAUGAGCCCAGCAAGCUCACUCAGCAGACGGAACAUGAGCCUUGAAUCAGGGGAGCUGGAGGCGGCUCUGGAGCCUGCAUCCCGGGGAAGCUCCCCGACGCCCCAGAGGUGCAGCCCAGCCUUCUCCACCUCACUCCACUAGCUCUGGGCAGUUCUCCUUCCAGUGCCCUAAGGGUCUGAGGAACCCAGGGGGCCAAGGGAGAGGACACAGGGUAUGAGGAUGGGGGCGGGUCUUCUGCCAAGACUGUGCCCUCCGCCAGCCUGCCGCCAAGCCAGGGCAGUGCCCCGCAGGCCCCUGACCUGCACACCCAGGGUGGACAGGCAGGCACUACCCUCUCAGGGGAGCAGAGUGGACCCCCAACUUCAUUCUGCUUUCCAGAGGCAAUUACUGCUUUAAACAGCUGAACUUCCAAAAAACAACUACAAACUCAUAAAUACCUCCGAGUCCCUGAGAAAUCACUUACGGACUAAUUAGCAGAUUGACCUGCUUCACAGCCCGAGCUCCCCUAGCUGGCAGCAGUGGAGAAGGAAGUCAUUAGCCGCCUGCCUCCUUAACCACUGCUCCCCUGAGCUGCUGCCACUUCUGACCCUGGGUCCCAAUUAGCCUGAGGGGAUGCAUUUAAUUAACGCUGCUUAAUGACGCCUGCCCUGCCGGGAGUGUCGUUUGGCCUUAUUUCUCUCUACUUCAGGUUCUUGAGAGGCUCUUUUCAAAAAGUCAGUGAACUUCCCAGGCCCUGUGGGGAUGCCCAGGUUGUGGAGGGAAGCAUGAAGGGAAGUUGGGGACAGCUGAGGAGGGUCUCAGCAGACUGAGGCCUUUUGUCUGAAGAUUCCAAGGUCGGGGCCAGUGACUCACACCUCCGUCCCACUCUGUGAGCGUGGCCUUCCCCCACCACGGGACACCCUGGGGCACCACGUGGGCAGUAGGGAGGAUGGCCAGAGAGGCCUACUUGGACCCUUCCAUCCUGCUCCCAAGCCCUGUGGCCUUCAGGACCACACAAGACCACCCCAGCAUCCUCUGGGUAAGCUCUGGCUGCCUUCAUGCGGGUGGGGACAUGCUGGGGGAUGGGAGGCGGCAUUACCGGACGAGCACCCGCUUCAGCAGCUGCUGGUCCCCCUCCGAGUAGCCAGGCCAGUCCUUCUGCACAUCCUUG
rnacentral:lncRNA from 1 species